AUUUUAAUUUUAGGUUUCAACGUGGUUUGAACAGCAAGCCUAUGGCACUCAUCAAGAAGCUCCGCAAGGCGGACUCUGAUGAGCUAAUGAUAGAAGCUGAUAUCACGUGCACAAUACUAAAAAGCUGAUUUUGGUCUGAUUGUUUAUUCUCUUAGCCUUUGUUACACCAUAUGCAUAUUCGAAAGCUUCUUCGUAGGUUGAAAGCCGAAACUGAUCAAAUAUGUCAAGCUCCUGAGUAUUUCAGGGGUAUUUCAGUGUUAUUUGGCCUUCUUAAGGAAGUUCUUAAAAACAGACCUGACUUGAAGUUGGUUGUUAUGAGUGCUACACUUGAAGCUGAAAAGUUUCAGGGAUAUUUUUUUGGAGCUCCUCUAAUGAAAGUUCCUGGAAGGCUACAUCCAGUUGAAAUUUUUUAUACUCAAGAACCAUUUUUUUUUCAUUUUUUACACUCGUCAAAACUGCGGUAUGGUUACCAUUGAUACAUGUGACUCUUUAUUGUAAUAACACUUUCUUGUAAUAAUUUCUUGUGUCUUGUUUUUUUGCAUACAGAAAACAAUUGCUUCUCCAGGGCGUGGUAUUUUGGCCAUGGAUGAAUCCAAUACUACAUGUGGAAAGCGGUUGGAUUCAAUUGAACUAGAGAACACCAAA